CUAGUAUAGCUUGAAUGCUCAUCACUGGCGAACGCUCGAACGAUCAGGGAUUACAGAGACAACUUCUUGAAAAGCGUAGCUUUACUUAGCCUUAGUGGCCCUAAUGAGGAAUGGGACAGUUCGUGAAAUUUUGAGCUGAACUGCCAGUUACGAGACUUCUUGUAUAUUCUGGGACGGAACAACCUACCUGUGGAAUUCAGGAUUAACAUUAUAAUCCACAGAAUUAUAAAACGUCCGCCAGUGAAAACAGAGUCUAAUCACGAGACAAGGUCCUGUUACUGCACAACCGUUGUUGCAUUGUAUGUCAUCUCCAGUACAUGCUAUAACGGUCAGGUAUAUACCUACUGUAAAUUAUUUAGAAAUGCAAGUGGUAUUAAUGCUGUAGCAGCGGGGCAGUUGAGAAACGUGAGAAGAAUACUGGAAAAGAAGAAGCGAAAAGGAAAGGGGAUGUUGUCCUGCUGAUAGACUCAUCAGUAAGGUCACCUAUACUUGAGUUUUGGCCUCCGACAGCCGUUGAGGGGCUAUUACUACCACUGCUCGUCUACAGCAGCACUGAACGCGGUUCCUUUCAACCGUCUCUCUUACAAGGAACGUUUAGUUUGUAAACAAUUGGAUUCGUCGAGAAACAAUCUACACUGGUGAAUUCGUAUUACAAUGGAACACAAACUUGCGGUAUAUUUAUUUUAAUAUAAUGGUACUAAAA